GUUGAACGCAUCAAUCGUCGGUCGUCCGAAUCAUGCCGACGCAUUGGAUCGUCGAGGCGCGGGUGAACGAUACCCGCAAGGGGGUUCGAGCGGUGGGCGACCCAGGAGGGGCUCCGUCCGUCGUCUCGAGCUGCUCGCGCCUCGUCGUCCGAAGAACAGAAGGGACCGCGCGACCACGCCGGCCGCACGUCCGAAGUCCGCUGGCGGACGGGGACGGCGACUCGGAGAGAGAGAGACCUCUGAUCGGCCGUCGCCCGCCGUGGCGGCUCGGUCGGCGUGGAAGCGAAGGACCCAGCGCACACGAAGCUCUAUCGGCGGGCUGCCGCACACGCGGCGGCCUCCGCAGACUU
rnacentral:misc_RNA from 1 species